AGGAUAAACGCUGGCGGCGUGCCUAACACAUGCAAGUCGAGCGGAAAGGCCCUUCGGGGUACUCGAGCGGCGAACGGGUGAGUAACACGUGAGCAACCUGCCCUUAGCUUCGGGAUAGCUCCGGGAAACCGGAAUUAAUACCGAAUAUGACUUUGGCUGACAUCAGCAGAAGUGGAAAGUUUUUCGGCUAGGGAUGGACUCGCGGCCUAUCAGCUAGUUGGUGAGGUAACGGCCCACCAAGGCGACGACGGGUA
rnacentral:rRNA from 1 species